UCCUCUUCUCUCCUCUCCUCUCUUCACCCCUUUCCGCUCCUUUCCCUCUCUCUCUUCUGCCAGUCAGUCGCUCCGCUACUCGCUCGCUCGCUGCUCGAGCCGCCCAGUUUUUGGAAAUCAGUCGCGGAAGUUAAAAACCCAACUCACGAUUUCAGCCAACAGCCCAGUCUUGAUGAGUCUUGUCAGUGACGGGGCCUGGGCUGGAUGUGAGGCCGUGUGUUCUGUAGAGAGUAUUCUCCCCGGCCGGCCGUAUGCGUCUUUCAAAAAUCUAUUAGUCUCGGAAAACAGAUGUUUCCGUCAGUUACUGUAGCGAAGCGUUAAGUUGGUGGUUCGAGAGUGUCGGGAAUAGAUCUACUGCCAUCUCAGAGGGAGAUUGGAGAAGAAAAGCAAACAAGACAAAAAAAAAUCGACACAUAUACAAACAUACACACACACACACACACAAACACACACAAACACACACAAACACACACACAUACACACACACAGACACACGUACACACUCACACACACACACGCGCGCGCGCGCGUGCAAACACACGCAGAAAGAUAUUUAAGAAAUGAUGCACCGUCAGAAUAAAGAAGAGUUUUCAGACUGGUGACGUAAUGGUAUCGAGAAAUAUUCGAUGGACAAAAAGAAAAAUAGAACCACGCCAUUGAAAUAGAAGAAUAUGAAAAGAAAACAGUCACCAAAAAUAGAUCUAUUUUAAUCGAGUCCUGUAUUAUAUUCUUACUCAGAGAGGAGGCCGUGAGGAUAUUUCAGUGAGUGCCGGAGAAAUGUUUUGAUCUCCAGUGUAGUGAUCAUCAUCGCUUCUAUGUCUGGAUUCUAUAUCUCCGUGUCUUCAAACAGCUGACUGAAGCCACUUCAUAAUGGGAGGGUCU